rnacentral:rRNA from 1 species
AAUGAACGUUGGCGGCGUGGAUUAGGCAUGCAAGUCGUACGAGAAUCGUAGCAAUACGAGGAAAGUGGCGGAAGGGAGAGGAUUACGCGGGAAUCUACCCUCAGAACUGGGAUAGCGGCGGGAAACUGCCGGUAAUACCAGAUAAUGUCUGUGGACCAAAGGGGUGAUUCCGUCUGGGGAUGAGCCCACGUCCUAUUAGCUAGUUGGCAGGGUAAUGGCCUACCAAGGCAAUGAUGGGUAGCGGGUGUGAGAGCAUGACCCGCCUCACUGGGACUGAGAACUGCCCAGACACCUACGGGUGGCUGCAGUCGAGAAUCUUCGGCAAUGAGCGCAAGCUUGACCGAGCGACGCCGCGUGCGGGAUGAAGGCCUUCGGGUUGUAAACCGCUGUCGUAGGGGAGCAAGAGAUGAGGGUACUCCCUCUGAUUUGAGCGAUCCUAGGAGGAAGGACGGGCUAAGUUCGUGCCAGCCGCCGCCGUAAGAC